UACGUAGGCAGCAAGCGUUGUUCGGAAUUACUGGGCGUAAAGAGUGUGUAGGCGGUGCUCCAAGUCUGGUGUGAAAUCUCCCGGCUUAACUGGGAGGGUGCAUUAGAAACUGGAAUGCUAGAGGAUGGGAGAGGUAAGCGGAAUUCCUGGUAUAGCGGUGAAAUGCGUAGAUAUCAGGAGGAACACCGGUGGUGUAGACGGCUUACUGGACCACGACUGACGCUGAGGCACGAAAGCGUGGGUAGCAAACAGG
rnacentral:rRNA from 1 species